AGAUUGAACGCUGGCGGCAGGCCUAACACAUGCAAGUCGAGCGGUAGAGAGGUGCUUGCACCUCUUGAGAGCGGCGGACGGGUGAGUAAUGCCUAGGAAUCUGCCUAGUGGUGGGGGAUAACGUUCGGAAACGGACGCUAAUACCGCAUACGUCCUACGGGAGAAAGCGGGGGACCUUCGGGCCUCGCGCCAUUAGAUGAGCCUAGGUCGGAUUAGCUAGUUGGUGAGGUAAUGGCUCACCAAGGCGACGAUCCGUAACUGGUCUGAGAGGAUGAUCAGUCACACUGGAACUGAGACACGGUCCAGACUCCUACGGGAGCAGCAGUAGGGGAAUAGUU
rnacentral:rRNA from 1 species